rnacentral:rRNA from 1 species
AUUGAACGCUGGCGGCAUGCCUUACACAUGCAAGUCGAACGGCAGCAUAGGAGCUUGCUCCUGAUGGCGAGUGGCGAACGGGUGAGUAAUAUAUCGGAACGUGCCCUAGAGUGGGGGAUAACUAGUCGAAAGACUAGCUAAUACCGCAUACGAUCUACGGAUGAAAGUGGGGGAUCGCAAGACCUCAUGCUCCUGGAGCGGCCGAUAUCUGAUUAGCUAGUUGGUGGGGUAAAAGCCUACCAAGGCAACGAUCAGUAGCUGGUCUGAGAGGACGACCAGCCACACUGGGACUGAGACACGGCCCAGACUCCUACGGGAGGCAGCAGUGGGGAAUUUUGGACAAUGGGGGCAACCCUGAUCCAGCAAUGCCGCGUGAGUGAAGAAGGCCUUCGGGUUGUAAAGCUCUUUUGUCAGGGAAGAAACGGUAGUAGCUAAUAUCUACUACUAAUGACGGUACCUGAAGAAUAAGCACCGGCUAACUACGUGCCAGCCGCCGCAGUAACAC